AUGCUUGCUGCAGCAGCUCAUACACUAAAAUUGGAACAACAGAGAUUAGCAUGGCCCCUGCUCAAGGAUGACAUGCAAAUUCAUGAACUGUUCCAUAUUUUU
rnacentral:snRNA from 1 species